AUGAACGCUGGCGGCGUGCUUAACACAUGCAAGCCGAACGGAAAGGCCAGUGCUUGCACUGGUGCUCGAGUGGCGAACGGGUGAGUAACACGUGGGUGAUCUGCCCUGCACUUUGGGAUAAGCCUGGGAAACUGGGUCUAAUACCAGAUAGGACCAUGCUUUGGAUGGUGUGGUGGAAAGUUUUUUCGGUGUGGGAUGAGCUUGCGGCCUAUCAGCUUGUUGGUGGGGUAAUGGCCUACCAAGGCGUCGACGGGUAGCCGGCCUGAGAGGGUGUACGGCCACAUUGGGACUGAGAUACGGCCCAGACUCCUACGGGAGGCAGCAGUGGGGAAUAUUGCACAAUGGGCGCAAGCCUGAUGCAGCGACGCCGCGUGGGGGAUGACGGCCUUCGGGUUGUAAACUCCUUUCGCAACUGACGAAGCUUUUUGUGACGGUAGGUUGAGAAGAAGCACCGGCUAACUACGUG
rnacentral:rRNA from 1 species